rnacentral:rRNA from 1 species
GGGCGGGGCCUACGGGAGGCAGCAGUGAGGAAUAUUGCGCAAUGGGGGCAACCCUGACGCAGCGACGCCGCGUGGAUGAUGAAGGCCUUCGGGUUGUAAAAUCCUGUCAGAUGGGAAGAAGUGGUAGUAUUUUAAUACAAUACUACUUUGACGGUACCAUCAAAGGAAGCACCGGCUAACUCCGUG